rnacentral:rRNA from 1 species
UACGGGGGGGGCAAGCGUUGUUCGGAAUUACUGGGCGUAAAGGGCGCGUAGGCGGUUCGCUAAGUUGAAUGUGAAAACUCUGGGCUUAACCCAGAGCCUGCAUUCAAUACUGGCGGGCUAGAGUUCUGGAGGGGAUAGCGGAAUUCCUGGUGUAGCGGUGAAAUGCGUAGAUAUCAGGAGGAACACCGGUGGCGAAGGCGGCUAUCUGGACAGAGUCUGACGCUGAGGCGCGAAAGCGUGGGGAGCGAACAGG